rnacentral:rRNA from 1 species
AGAGCAUACGGUGGAUGCCUUGGCGUCAGGAGGCGAUGAAGGACGUGGUUAACUGCGAAAAGCUUCGGGGAGCCGUAAGCAGGCUUUGAUCCGGAGAUGUCCGAAUGGGGAAACCCGGCCAGAUUUAUCUGGUCAUCCUGGGCUGAAUACAUAGGCCCAGGAGGCGAACGGGGGGAAGUGAAACAUCUCAGUACCCCUAGGAAAAGAAAUCAAUAGAGAUUCCCGGAGUAGCGGCGAGCGAAACGGGAACAGCCUAAACCUCGGAGAAGUAAUUUUCCGGGGGGUUGCGGGACCCCAACGUGGGACGCAGCGGGAUAGUGGAAGGACUUGGGAAGGUCCGCCAUAGUGGGUGAUAGCCCCGUACACGAAAUCCCAAAGCGCUCUAGGGGUAUCCCAAGUAGCACGGGACACGAGAAAUCCUGUGUGAAUCCGGGUAGACCAUUAUCCAAGGCUAAAUACUACCUGACGACCGAUAGUGAACCAGUACCGUGAGGGAAAGGCGAAAAGAACCCCGGGAGGGGAGUGAAAUAGAACCUGAAACCGUAUGCUUACAAUCAGUCCGAGGGCUAUGCUCCUUUUGGAGAAUGCCUGAGGGCGUGCCUUUUGCAUAAUGACUCAGCGAGUUACUGUAUGUGGCAAGGUUAAGCCGACUAGGUGUAGCCGUAGCGAAAGCGAGUCUUAAUAGGGCGAAUUAGUCGCGUGCAGUAGACCCGAAGCCAGUCGAUCUAUCCAUGGCCAGGGUGAAGGUGAGGUAACACUUACUGGAGGCCCGAACCGUUGUAAGUUGCAAAUUGCUCGGAUGAGCUGUGGAUAGGAGUGAAAGGCUAAUCAAGACUGGUGAUAGCUGGUUCUCCCCGAAAUAUAUUUAGGUAUAGCCUCGUGUCAUUAAGUGCCGGGGGUAGAGCACUGAUUGGGCUAGGGCCCUUCACAGGGUACCAAACCCAGACAAACUCCGAAUACCGGCAACUUUUAUCACGGGAGUCAGACUGUAGGGGAUAAGCUCUAUAGUCGAAAGGGAAACAACCCAGACCGCCAGCUAAGGUCCCCAAAGCAAGCUAAGUGGGAAAGGAUGUGAAACUACAUAAACACCCAGGAGGUUGGCUUAGAAGCAGCCAUCCUUUAAAGAAAGCGUAAUAGCUCACUGGUCUAGUGGUUUUGCGCCGAAAAUGUAACGGGGCUCAAGCUUGCUACCGAAGCUGCGGAUCUAUAUAUUUCUUCGGAAAUAUGUGGGUGGUAGGGGAGCUUUCCAGUAACCUGUGAAGGUGGAUCGUGAGGACCACUGGAGGAACUGGAAGUGCAUAUGCUGAGAUGAGUAGCGUAAAUGCGGGUUUCCUGGGGAAGGUUAAUCCUCCCAGGGUUAGUCGGGACCUAAGCCGAGGCCGAAAGGCGUAGGCGAUGGAAAACAGGUUAAUAUUCCUGUACCAUCUUGUUAGUGUUUGAGUGAAGGGGGGACGGAGUAGGGCAGGCCAUCCGGGUGACGGACGUCCCAGUACAAACCUUUAGGCGGGGGAGAUAGGCAAAUCCGUUUCCCUGUAUAACGCUGAGGGGUUAUGUGGAGGAAAGCCGCAAGGCGGACCGAACUGGCUGAUCCCAUGCUUCCAAGAAAAGCCUCGUAGCGAGCUGGCAAGGUGCUCGUACCGCAAACCGACACUGGUGGGUAGGUAGAGAAUACUAAGGCGUUGAGAGAACCCUGGUUAAGGAACUCGGCAAUCUAGCCCCGUAACUUUGGGAGAAGGGGUGCCUCAUUAGGGUGUCAAAGCCCGAAGAGGUCGCAGUGAAAUGGGGGAAGCGACUGUUUAGCAAAAACACAGGACUCUGCUAACUCGCAAGAGGAUGUAUAGGGUCUGACUCCUGCCCGGUGCCGGAAGGUUAAGGGGAUUUGUUAUCCGUAAGAACCGAAGCCCCGGUAAACGGCGGCCGUAACUAUAACGGUCCUAAGGUAGCGAAAUUCCUUGUCGGGUAAGUUCCGACCUGCACGAAUGGAGUAACGAUUUCCCCGCUGUCUCGACCAGGGACUCAGCGAACUUGAAAGGCCAGUGAAGAUGCUGGCUACCCGCGGCUAGACGGAAAGACCCCGUGCACCUUUACUAUAACUUGGUAUUGGUUAUUGGGAUGGUUUGUGUAGGAUAGGUGGGAGGCUUUGAAGCAGGGGCGCUAGCUUCUGUGGAGCCAACCUUGAAAUACCACCCUAACUAUUUCGGUAUCCUAACCCAGGUCCGUUAUCCGGAUCGGGGACAGUGCCAGGCGGGUAGUUUGACUGGGGCGGUCGCCUCCUAAAUUGUAACGGAGGCGCGCGAAGGUUCCCUCAGGCUGAUUGGAAACCAGCCGUCGAGUGUAAAGGCAUAAGGGAGCUUAACUGUAAGACUUACAAGUCGAGCAGGUGCGAAAGCAGGUCUUAGUGAUCCGGUGGUUCUGAAUGGAAGGGCCAUCGCUCAACGGAUAAAAGGUACGCCGGGGAUAACAGGCUGAUCGCGCCCAAGAGUUCAUAUCGACGGCGCGGUUUGGCACCUCGAUGUCGGCUCAUCGCAUCCUGGGGCUGAAGCAGGUCCCAAGGGUUCGGCUGUUCGCCGAUUAAUAGCGGUACGCGAGCUGGGUUCAGAACGUCGUGAGACAGUUCGGUCCCUAUCUGCCGUGGGCGCAGGAGAUUUGAGGGAAGCUGUCCCUAGUACGAGAGGACCGGGGCGGCGGCACCACUAGUGUUCCAGUUGUCCUGCCAAGGGCAACGCUGGGUAGCUAUGUGCCGAAGGGAUAACUGCUGAAAGCAUCUAAGCGGGAAGCCCCUCCCAAGAUAAGAUCUCCCGAGCUGUAAAGCUCCUAAAGGUCACUUGGAGACUACAAGUUUGAUAGGCCGGGUGUGUACGCACUGUGAGGUGUUUAGCUAACCGGUACUAAUCGACCGUGAGGCUUGACC